AUUUAAAUAGUUUAAAUAAAACAUUGAUUUGUGGUGUCAAAAAUAUAGUUUAUCUAUUUUAGAUC
rnacentral:tRNA from 1 species